UUCAAAUCUUUCUUCAAACUCCUUCCACCGAUUACAGAGGAAUAAAGGUUAAUAAAGUGUGCUCAAUAGCUCUAAUUAAAAAACAGAACAAGGACUAGAACUAGUAUUGUAAAGUGGAAGGAAGAUGCCCUCUAGUGGUAAAUAUUAAUAAAGAGAAAAAAAGAAGUGACCCGAAGUAUUUUCUAAGAAAAUUAUGGACAACUUAUUGUAAAUAGAAGGUAGGUAGAGCUUACACCCGUCACUAAUAGAAAACCUGAUUCCUGUUAA
rnacentral:lncRNA from 1 species